rnacentral:rRNA from 1 species
UGGGGAAUAUUGGACAAUGGGCGCAAGCCUGAUCCAGCCAUGCCGCGUGAGUGAUGAAGGCCUUAGGGUUGUAAAGCCCUUCCACCGGUGAACAUAAUGACGGUAACCGGUGAAGAAGCCCCGGCUAACUUCGCGCCAGCAGCCGCGGUAAUACGAAGGGGGCUAGCGUUGUUCGGAGUUACUGGGCGUAAAGCGCACGUAGGCGGACCUUUAAGUCAGGGGUGAAAUCCCGGGGGUCAACCCCGGAACUGCCUUUGAUACUGGAAGUCUUGGGUAUGGUAGAAGUGGGUGGAAUUCCGAGUGUAGGGGUGAAAUUCCUAGAUAUUCGGAGGAAACCCCGUGGCGAAGGCGGCUCCCUGGACCAUUACUGACGCUGAGGUGCGAAAGCGUGGGGAGCAAACAGG